rnacentral:lncRNA from 10 species
GACUUGAAGCAGCGUACGUUGUCAGCUGGGCAAACCCCUGCUUUCUCUAUACCUAGUGGAGGAAGCCACAAGCCACCAGGGUCACAAGAACGAGAGACACCAUGAGGACCAAGAAGCUGCUGGACCCCAUGUUGCCAGGCAGGUGCUUGGCUGGGAGCUGGGCUGAGCCUGGCUUUAUAGUGUUCCUGCUGGGCAUGCCAGUGGGUGGAGCUGAAGGCUCAAAAUGGCAAGGGAGGCUGCACUUCCCAGCUCUAUUUGGAAAUGGCCCCUUCUGAGGAGGGACUUGGGGCUUUCCCUAAGGCUCUGCACUGGAAUAGAUGAAGAAAUCCAAGAGCGACCCUCGUUCUUCACACGAGGAGAAGAAAUGGACACGUGAUUGACCAUUAGGCGCCACCAGGGCCAAACUAUCUUAUGGAAGGAGGAAAAGAAGCACAGAAAGGGCAUGAAAUUACUCAAGUUCACACACGAGGCAGUGGCAGGGCCAGACUUCCUCAACUCCACCGUGUUCUCUAUCAGUCCCUCUUCAUGCCUGAUUCACCUGGGACCAAAAUCUUCCCUCCUUCCUGUGCUGCCCCGGACUUGUUCUCAGUUCUCACCUCACCCCAAGGAAGAAUCUGAAUGGCAGUGCUUAAAAUGUCUGUCCUGAACAUUCACUCUCAGCCUUGCGCUCCAGCACCGUGUGCUCCUGCCCCCCGCCAAUCUCAUGUGGCCUGGAGGAAAGCAGAUUUUGGACCUGUCACCAGCUGUGUGACUUUGAAAGCAGCUUCACCUUUCUAAGCCUCCGUUUCCUCAUUCAUACAAUGAGCAUAAUAAUUAUACUGUAUCAUCUUCAUAGGAUUUGUUUUCCCUCCUCUGCCCCUGCAUCCCCCAAAUUCCUGGAUUUGGAAGAAGACAUGGACGUGUGUGCGUGUGUGUGUGUGUGUGUGUGUGUGUGUGUGUGUGACCAGGCUUUUGGGGUCCUUUCUUUGAAUGAGUACUAAAGGGAGGAAAAUCCUUCCUGUUGGAAAAGUUGCAGAUAUAAGCCCAGAAACUCCAGAAAUUUGGUCCUGGCCCUGGUGAGAGAGAAAUUCUGAGAAGAUAAAUCUAAGAUGCUGAUAAAAAGAGAUGAGAGAUGGACAGGGAGUAAUUUAGAGGAUAUCUAGUCCUUCACUAAACUUUUUCCUGAGAUCAGCCCCACUCAUACCCAGGGUUAUGUUACCACCCAAUACAUUCACCUUUCUGCCUAAGCUGGUCUGAAUUGGAUUUCUGUCAUUUACUAACAGGACCCCUGAGUAAUGCAAAGAUUUGGGUUUGGGGUGUUCCACAUCCUGAAGUGUGGAAGGGACUGAGUUGGGGUUAAGUGGAGGCAGGGAGGAUACCUCCAUUCCUGGAAGUGAGCCUACUCCUUAUUAGGUGGUGAAUCUUUGGUUACAAUCUCACCAGUCAUAUCACUGGACUCAGAUCAUUUGGAUACCAGGGAUGGAAUCUGGGAAGUUCAUAAACAAAUACUAGAAUGUUGGAAUGUAUUGGCUAUUUCCUCCUCCACCUUUUUAUUAUGAACUUUUUAAACAUACAGAAAAAUUGAAAUAACAGAACAAUGAUACUUGUAUACCUACAACUGGAUUUAACAAUUAUUAAUAGUUUGGGAUAUUUUAGAAUACCUAUAGCUACAUUUGUUGAAAUAUUUGAAAUGAAAUUGAAUACAUUAUGUUCCUAUUUCCUAAAUACAUCAGCAUGCAAAUUCUAAGAAUAAGGAUAUUCUUCAAUAUAAUCACAAAGCCAUUAUCAUAUCUAAGAUAAUUAAUAGUUUCUGCAUGUCAUCUCAUAGCCAGUUCAUAUUUGUUUCUCCGGUUCUCCCCAAAAUGUCAUUUGUAAUUGACUGUUGAUGAUACUUCUUUAAAAAAAGUAUUGUAAAAUAAAUCCUACAUAUGAAAGAAUGUAAUCAACAUUCUAUACCUUUUGAAAAAGAAUAAUAAACACCUAUGAACCUAUCAAUUUAGAAUAGGACAUUACCAUCCCUACUUCAGAGGUAACCACUAUCUUGAACUUUCUGUUAAUCAUCCUCAUGUUUUCCUUUAAAGUUUUGCUCUCUUGCUAUGGCUUGCUUAGUGAUACGUGUUGUUUAAUUUCGUGUAAGCGUAAUUAUGGCCUAAGUAUUCUUUUGUAUUUUGCAUGCUUUGCUCAACACCGUGUUUUUUUAAAAAAUUGUGGUAAGAAAUAUAUACUAUAAGACAUGACCUCUUAACAUAUUUUUAAGUGCAUACUAACAGUAUUGUUAAUUGUGGGCACAGUGUCAUACAGUAGGUCUCUAGAACUUUUUCAUCUUGCAUGACUGAAACCCACUGAAUAGCAACUCCCUAUUCCCCCCACCCCCAGACCCUUGGAACCACCAUUCUGUUUUCUGCUUCUAUAAGUGACUACUUUAGACACUUCAUAAAAGUGGAAUUAUGCCAUAUUUGUCCUUUUGUGACUGGCUUAUUUUGCUUAGCAUAAUGUCCUUGAGGUUCACCCAUGUUGUAGCAUGAGAUAGACUUUUCUUCUUUUUUAUGGCUGAAUAAUAUUCCAUGGUAUGCAUAUAUAUGUACAUGUAUAUAAUCUUUUUCCUUCCCUCAUUUAUCUGUCAAUGGGUCAAUGCACAUUUAGGUUUCCAUUUCUUGGCUAUUGUGAAUAUUGCAGCAAUGAACUUGCAGGUGCAAAUAUCUCUUUGGGAUCCUGAUUUAAAUUCUUUUGGAUAAAUACCCAGAAGGGGGAUUGCUGGAUCAUGUGAUAGCUCUAUUUUUAAUUUUUUGAAGAACUUCCAUACUGUUUUCCGUAGUGGCUAUACUCCUUUAAAUUCUCACUGACAGUGCACAAGGGUUCCAAAUUCUCCACAUUCUCACCGGUACUUGUUUUCUUUUUCUUUUCUUUUUAAAAUAAAAGCCAUCCUAACAGGUAUGAGGUGAUCUUAUGGUUUGAUUUUCAUUUUCCUGAUGAUUAGACAUGUUGAGUAUCUUUUCACAUACCUGUUGGCCAUUUGUAUAUCUUCUUUGGAGAAAUGUCUGUUUAAGUCUUAUUCACUUUUAAUUGGGUCUUUAUAUUUAUAUGUGUGUGUAUAUAUAUAUAUAUAUGCAUAUGUACACACACAUAUAUAUAAUGAAAAAGAAAAGAAAUAAGUAUUAGAAUGGGAGACGAGAAAAGCCAUUGUUUGCAAAUGAUGCAAUAAUAAAAACACAAAAGAAACUACAGAUACAUCAUGAGUUAGACAAUUUUUCAAGAUUAGCUGACACAAAAAUCAAUAUAUAAAAGUCAGCUGCUUUCUAUACACUAGAAAUAUUGGUUAGAAAAAUGUAAUACGUUAAAAGCAAUAACAUGUAAAAUAUUUAGUAAUAAAGGCAACCUGUGAGAUGGGAAAAAUAUUUGCAAACUACCUACCAGAUAAGGGGUUAAUUUUCAAAAUAUAUAAAGAACUGCAACUCAAUAGCAAAAAUAUGUUUACAUAUAUAUAUACAUAUAUACAUAGCAAAAAUAUGUUUAUAUAUGUAUAUAUAUAAAUACAUUUAGGCUUACAUUUAGGUUUCCUAGAAACCUAGACUGUCUAGGAAGCAAGCCCCAUAAGGAACUUCUCAUAUUCAUAUUAUAAGAAGGUAAAAUUGCAGGGGACAAUGUUCCUGUUUUGUAGUAGUAAACUACCUUCUCAAAAGGUGGUUAUUUUGUCCCCAGGGGACUUUGGCAAUGUCUGGAGACAUAUUUGAUUGUCACAACUGGGACAGAUGUGCUUCUCACAUCCAGUGUCUAGAGGCUGAGGUUGCUGCUAAAUAUCUAACAAUGCACAAGACAGCUUUUCACAACAAACAAUGAUCUGUCUCCAAGUGCCAAUAGUAUUGAUGUUGAGAAACGCUGCUGUCCUGCCUCACUGACUAAUAGCUGUGCAUGGCCUCAGAACACCUCAAUGUAGGCUGAAGCGAGUAAUGAUGGGAGUGUCUGCUGGGAGUAUCCCAUGCUUAGGAGUGCUGAUCCUUGGCUCACUGGUUUCACCCAGUAAAGGCAUUCCUUAGCCCAUGCCAUGUGACCUUGUGGAAUUCAUCCCAUGUUCUGCUGAAUCAGGUUAAUAAAGUUCCC